rfam:Betaproteobacteria bacterium RIFCSPLOWO2_02_67_12 rifcsplowo2_02_sub10_scaffold_2941, whole genome shotgun sequence.
UGCAUUACGCAGGGGUCCUGGCGCCGGCAUCUGCCGCGGCAGCCGGGUGAGAGAUACCCAAGGAACCUGAUGCGGGUAAUGCCGCCGCAGGGACGCGUGAAGUCCGCUUCC